rnacentral:rRNA from 1 species
CGCGUCUGAUUAGGCAGUUGGCGGGGUAGAGGCCCACCAAACCGACGAUCAGUAGCCGGCCUGAGAGGGCGACCGGCCACAUUGGGACUGAGACACGGCCCAGACUCCUACGGGAGGCAGCAGUGGGGAAUAUUGCACAAUGGGGGAAACCCUGAUGCAGCGACGCCGCGUGAGCGAAGAAGUAUCUCGGUAUGUAAAGCUCUAUCAGCAGGGAAGAAGAAUGACGGUACCUGACUAAGAAGCUCCGGCUAAAUAC